rnacentral:tRNA from 1 species
UCCCCGGUAGCUCAGCGGUAGAGCAGGAGAUUGUUAAUCUCUUGGUCGGCGGUUCGAAUCCGUCCCGGGGAGCCA